GGCUCAGAAUGAACGCUGGCGGCAUGCCUAACACAUGCAAGUCGAACGAAGCCUUCGGGCUUAGUGGCGCACGGGUGCGUAACGCGUGGGAAUCUACCCUUGGGUUUGGAAUAACAGUUAGAAAUGACUGCUAAUACCAAAUAAUGUCGCAAGACCAAAGAUUUAUCGCCCAAGGAUGAGCCCGCGUGAGAUUAGGUAGUUGGUGAGGUAAAAGCUCACCAAGCCGACGAUCUCUAGCUGGUCUGAGAGGAUGAUCAGCCACACUGGGACUGAGACACGGCCCAGACUCCUACGGGAGGCAGCAGU
rnacentral:rRNA from 1 species